rnacentral:rRNA from 1 species
GAGUUUGAUCGUGGCUCAGAUUGAACGCUGGCGGCAUGCCUUACACAUGCAAGUCGAACGGCAGCACGGGAGCUUGCUCCUGGUGGCGAGUGGCGAACGGGUGAGUAAUGCAUCGGAACGUAUCCUGGAGUGGGGGAUAACGUAGCGAAAGUUACGCUAAUACCGCAUAUUCUGUGAGCAGGAAAGCGGGGGACCUUCGGGCCUCGCGCUCUUGGAGCGGCCGAUGUCGGAUUAGCUAGUUGGUGAGGUAAAGGCUCACCAAGGCGACGAUCCGUAGCAGGUCUGAGAGGAUGAUCUGCCACACUGGAACUGAGACACGGUCCAGACUCCUACGGGAGGCAGCAGUGGGGAAUUUUGGACAAUGGGGGCAACCCUGAUCCAGCCAUGCCGCGUGAGUGAAGAAGGCCUCGGUUGUAAGUA